AACCCUAGGCAGGGGAUCACUCGGUCUCAUGGAUCGUGAAGACCGCAGCUAAAUGCGUCGUCAAUGUGAACGCAGGACACAUGAACACCGAUAAGUUGAACGCAUAUUGCGCGUCGGACGAAUAAACGGCCGAUGCACACAUUCUUGAGUGCCU
rnacentral:rRNA from 1 species